rnacentral:ncRNA from 1 species
GGAGGCGCACCACCGCCCCGCCAUAUCCGCUCCGUUCGGUGUGGCGGAGGCAGAGCGGGCACGCUAGGACCCGAAAGAUGGUGAACUAUGCCCGAGCAGGAUGAAGCCAGAGGAAACUCUGGUGGAGGUCCGCAGCGAUUCUGACGUGCAAAUCGAUCGUCCGACUUGGGUAUAGGGGCGAAAGACUAAUCGAACCAUCUAGUAGCUGGUUCCCUCCGAAGUUUCCCUCAGGAUAGCUGGCGCUCAUAUGCAGUUUUAUCUGGUAAAGUGAAUGAUUAGAGGCCUUGGGGACGAAACGACGUCAACUUAUUCUCAAUCUCUAUACUCCGCUAGUUCUCCGUAUCCCUUUUUCUUAUCUGGUUUAUAACAUUCGAUAGGGGGUAACCCCCGCAUCAACAAUCAUACAAAUGAUAAUCACUUUAUCAGAAAUGUGGUAUGAAUAAUCCGAAUAUCAUAGUCAUCAUAUCUGGAGAUAGAUGAUUAAACAUAC